CGCAAAGGUUUCAAUGUGAAAAAAGAUAAACCUAGAGAAAUAAAUAAUAUGUACCGUAUGUGUUUCUGUUCUAGUCUUAAUCAUUCUACAUAUUCUUACAUCUUGAAAUUUUGAGCACUGGAGCCACAUAACGUGAAUAGGGUGAAAAAAAAGAUGAGAAAAGGCAACCAUGGAAUGGGAGACCCCGGCCACAAGGACCUCUGUUGCUUGCACAUUCCUGAUAGUCUAUCACCUGGCU
rnacentral:lncRNA from 1 species